AGCAGCGUGGCUCAGUGGAAAGAGCACAGGCUUGGGAGUCAGAGGUCAUGGGUUCGAAUCCCGGCUCUGCCA
rnacentral:tRNA from 1 species